AAAUGUAUUUGUCCCAUGAUCUCAACAGUUUUUUUCGUUAAUCUUCAAUAGAAUUUCUUGCUCAAUUGAAAAACAGGUUAACAGGUGGUCCAUUUUCAAUCACAAUAACAAGAAGCGCUUUAGAUCAAAGAAAAGGGAUAAACUGCGACUGGAAUAAUAUAGCCAGUUCGAGCAUGGAUAUGACGAAUUCCAAUACAAGUUAUGUUGAUAUGGAUGUUUAGACGGGAAUGCGAAUAUAUGUAUACGUAUGUAUAUGUAUAUAUGAUACGUAAUAUCUAAUGUAUGUGUACAUAAGGGAGUACAUAUAUUUUCAAGUGACGAUGGAGCAUCAAAUAGCGCCGCAGGUCCUUCGGCCAGGUUCUGGGAGCUCAUACAGGCAAGGCAGCUGUUUUGGAUCGAUGGUUUCUUCUAAAGUCAAUGUCGUCCUUGUUUAUUCCAUAUGGGAUCGCAAAACUGGAGUUUACUACAUAAGUGAGCGUAUAUAUACAAGUAUAUAACUAUCUAUAUAUAUAUAAUGUGUGUGUUGGAGUGAACGAAAUCCAGCUUAUGUAAUAAAACGCGAAUUUAAUAACACGAGUUUGCUGCCGGGACUAAUUAGUAUUCCUGGCUUCCAAGGGAGCUUAGUUUCCAAGGGAAGUCUAGGCCACGUGCUAGCAUCAUAAUUCAUUAAAUAAUAUCAAAAGGAAUUGUUCUUUUGAACCGGCCGGCGUUCUUAUCCGACCGUCGACUAAUUGGAUCGCUCACCUCGGAUUACAUAAAAACUCGAGGUUCGUCCUGUUUUUUUUUUGUUGCUGUUGUUGAAUUUAUUUGUCUUUGGAUAAAUAUACUUCUUCGAUAUUCUUCAGCGAAGCGAACGGAAAACUUUAUCGUACGUUUCCCAUAUUUUAUUAUAUUUCUGUACGUUUGCUGUCGAAUCCAAUUUUCUCCCGGAGCCAACUUUCUAUUAACGUUAUACGUCUGCUCCAUUAAAGGUCGCAGCGAGGAUGGAAACAAAUCAGAUCGAAUAUUUGAUUCACUUACUUUGAAUAAUAUUUUCGAUUGAUUCUAGGUACAAAGAAAACACGCUUCGUAAUCAAUUUCUUUUUCCUUGCGACUGACGAAGUAACAUCUUGAUCUCAAUAUUACAAAUCCAUCCAACGCAAAAAAAACAUUUUAAGCUUAUUUAUUCGUUGUCUUAUUUUAUUUAUAAAUUGUACUUUUUCAUAUUCUGUAAGUUUUGAUCUUCUUCUAUAUUAGUGAAUCUACGCUUAAUUCAAAGCAAUUUUAAUUUUAUUGUUAUACUACUUUUAAGUAUUCACAAGUAUUUAUAUGUAGCUUCCAAAUAUA